rnacentral:misc_RNA from 1 species
UACGGAGGGUGCAAGCGUUGUCCGGAAUCACUGGGUGUAAAGGGUGUGUAGGCGGGACUGUAAGUCAGAGGUGAAAGCCCACGGCCCAACCGUGGAAUUGCCUUUGAUACUGCAGUUCUUGAGUCUCGGAGAGGUUGUUGGAAUUCGUGGUGUAGCGGUGAAAUGCGUAGAUAUCACGAGGAACACCAGAGGCGUAGGCGAACAACUGGACGAGUACUGACGCUGAGGCACGAAAGCGUGGGGAGCAAACAGG